UCUUCAGUGAUGAUAGAUAAAGUAACUUUUGUUCUUCUGAUUCUACUGAAGACAACCAUUCUGUCAUGCGGAAGA
rnacentral:snoRNA from 1 species